CCAGCUCCAAUAGCGUAUACUAAAGUUGUUGCAGUUAAAAAGCUCGUAGUUGGAUUUCUGGAUAAUUUCCCAGGUCCGCCCUUCGCGGGGUGUGUACUCGGUGAUGUUUUCCAUCAUCGGAGAGCACGUAUCUGGCCUUCACUGGUCGGGUAUGGGGUCUCUGUCAUUUACUGUGAGCAAACUAGAGUGUUCAAAGCAGGCUUAUGCCGUUGAAUACAUUAGCAUGGAAUAAUAAGAUAUGACCUCGGUCUAUUUUGUUGGUUUGUAUUCCAAGGUAAUGAUUAAUAGGGACAGUUGGGGGUAUUCGUAUUCAAUUGUCAGAGGUGAAAUUCUUGGAUUUAUGGAAGACGAACUACUGCGAAAGCAUUUACCAAGGAUGUUUUCA
rnacentral:rRNA from 1 species